UACGGGGGGGGCAAGCGUUGUUCGGAAUUACUGGGCGUAAAGGGCUCGUAGGUGGCCAACUAAGUCAGACGUGAAAUCCCCGGGCUUAACCUGGGAACUGCGCUUGUAACUGGCAAGCUAGAGUGUGGCAGAGGGGGGUGGAAUUCCACGUGUAGCAGUGAAAUGCGUAGAGAUGUGGAGGAACACCGAUGGCGAAGGCAGCCCCCUGGGCUAACACUGACGCUCAUGCACGAAAGCGUGGGGAGCAAACAGG
rnacentral:rRNA from 1 species